GGAAGCAAAGGCAAAUACUAGCAAAUGACAAAUUUGUUCAAAUUUAAAGGAAACUCGUUCAUAUAUAUUUCCAAUCUAUUCCGUGAAAGAUCUCAUAAAAUUACAAAACACAUCCUAAUGAUAAAAAGAGACCUAUGACUUGCUAUGUCAGUGUGUGAUGGGAGAAAACUUGACGAGCUGCUGAUCAUUCUGUGUUCGUUCUUAGGUGUCUGUGUUAUUCUCCUGCUGAGUGUUCUACUAAACCUACUAUGCAAUCACAGAAGCCAUUUCAAAGGGAAGUUGACAAUUUUGAAGCAGAGAGCACCCGUUGUCAACCCAACAUACGAAGAACAAAACUUGAACAUUAUACAAUCAAAAAACCCUUAAUGAUAUAUGUUAUACAAAUAUGUAUAAUUUGAUUCAUCAUUAUGAAAUAGAGUAACAUUCUUAUCAUAUUGUCAAUGAUUGUAUUUCUUGAGAACUUUAAAUAUUUAAACAUGACUGUUGCUCAACAAGUCCAUUAAGUCAGUUUCAAUCACUGGUUCACCAGAUCGAGAUCAGCGUACAUAUGCCAAAUCCUUUACGAUUAAUUCUAAUUCCAAUAUGCUAUUGACUGUCGUAUUUGAAUACCGCGUAGGUUUUUUGUCGUGGGGUGAUAAGGUUGGCUUAUUUUAAUGGUUUGUUAUCAUGCCCCCAAAUUUUUAUAGCUAAAUUUUCACUCAAUUGUGUCUGCAAUCAUCAUAAAUAUUUUCACAACAAAGAUAACUCGUAUAGCAGUUGUUUUAUGCCAAAGAUACAUAAACCACUCUUCAGCAUGGGAGGUAAAUAAACUAUUAGAUUUGUUUUAUGUCUGUUAUUUCUGACGAUAGUAAAACAUUUUACAGAUACGUUAUCAACACUUCACCGCUUAUCCAUUUUCAUGUUCUGAAACUCCAUGUCCGACAACAUAUGUUCCGCUAUUUAAAUAGAGUUUGUCCAACGCUUAAUUUUGUAUUCAUUAUAGGAAUUUUGAGAUUGGUCACUGUUUGUUAACUUCACAUUUUCCAAUGGCAACUAUGGAAUUUCUGCAAAAAAUAAAGGGUGUUUUUAUCAAGCCAUGAUA